rnacentral:rRNA from 1 species
CCUACGGGGCGCUGCAGUGGGGAAUAUUGGACAAUGGGCGAAAGCCUGAUCCAGCCAUGCCGCGUGUGUGAAGAAGGCCUUCGGGUUGUAAAGCACUUUCAGUGGGGAAGAAAGCCUUGGGGCUAAUACCCUCGAGGAAGGACAUCACCCACAGAAGAAGCACCGGCUAACUCCGUGCCAGCAGCCGCGGUAAUACGGAGGGUGCGAGCGUUAAUCGGAAUUACUGGGCGUAAAGCGCGCGUAGGCGGUCUGAUAAGCCGGUUGUGAAAGCCCCGGGCUCAACCUGGGAACGGCAUCCGGAACUGUCAGGCUAGAGUGCAGGAGAGGAAGGUAGAAUUCCCGGUGUAGCGGUGAAAUGCGUAGAGAUCGGGAGGAAUACCAGUGGCGAAGGCGGCCUUCUGGACUGACACUGACGCUGAGGUACGAAAGCGUGGGUAGCAAACAGGAUUAGAUACCCGAGUAGUC